UUUGCUUUUUGCAAGGCUGAAAUAGCACUUGACUUUUUAAAUGGGGUUUUCAUUUAAUUUGUUGCUCCUGUCCUAUUGCUCUCUCCAUCUUCUGGUGUCUCCAGGCUUUGACUAAUGAAACCACUAGCCAGACUUACAGUCAGGCGGAACGCACGCCGAGUCAGCCCGCUGCGGACGGGCAGGUCUGUGCACGCCCUGCCGAGGUCCUGAGUCACGCGGAAGACACCGAAUCACCCCACUGCAGACAGGCAGCCACCUGAUUCCACAUUACCAAGGCGCAGAGGACACCAGACCACCAGACCAAGGUACGGAGUCCCACUGUUCCCGGCCCAGAGGUAGGGGCUUCUGAGCUGUCGUCCUACUGCUCCUGGUCCAGAGGAGGGGGCUUCCCGGUCACCAUCC
ensembl:lncRNA